rnacentral:rRNA from 1 species
AGUGAACGCUGGCGGUAGGCCUAACACAUGCAAGUCGAACGGCAGCACAGUAAGAGCUUGCUCUUACGGGUGGCGAGUGGCGGACGGGUGAGGAAUACAUCGGAAUCUACUUUUUCGUGGGGGAUAACGUAGGGAAACUUACGCUAAUACCGCAUACGACCUACGGGUGAAAGCAGGGGAUCUUCGGACCUUGCGCGAUUGAAUGAGCCGAUGUCGGAUUAGCUAGUUGGCGGGGUAAAGGCCCACCAAGGCGACGAUCCGUAGCUGGUCUGAGAGGAUGAUCAGCCACACUGGAACUGAGACACGGUCCAGACUCCUACGGGAGGCAGCAGGGGGGAAUAUUGGACAAUGGGCGCAAGCCUGAGCCAGCCAUACCGCGUGGGUGAAGAAGGCCUUCGGGUUGUAAAGCCCUUUUGUUGGGAAAGAAAAGCAGCAGGUUAAUACCCCGCUGUUCUGACGGUACCCAAAGAAUAAGCACCGGCUAACUGCGU